AUUGAACGCUGGCGGCAUGCCUUACACAUGCAAGUCGAACGGUAACAGGUCUUCGGAUGCUGACGAGUGGCGAACGGGUGAGUAAUACAUCGGAACGUGCCCGAUCGUGGGGGAUAACGCAGCGAAAGCUGUGCUAAUACCGCAUACGAUCUACGGAUGAAAGCGGGGGACUCGCAAGGGCCUCGCGCGGACGGAGCGGCCGAUGGCAGAUUAGGUAGUUGGUGGGAUAAAAGCUUACCAAGCCGACGAUCUGUAGCUGGUCUGAGAGGACGACCAGCCACACUGGGACUGAGACACGGCCCAGACUCCUACGGGAGGCAGCAGUGGGGAAUUUUGGACAAUGGGCGCAAGCCUGAUCCAGCCAUGCCGCGUGCAGGAUGAAGGCCUUCGGGUUGUAAACUGCUUUUGUAC
rnacentral:rRNA from 1 species